rnacentral:rRNA from 1 species
CCUACGUGGGGCAGCAGUGGGGAAUAUUGGACAAUGGGCGAAAGCCUGAUCCAGCCAUGCCGCGUGUGUGAAGAAGGCCUUCGGGUUGUAAAGCACUUUCAGUGGGGAAGAAAGCCUUGGGGCUAAUACCCUCGAGGAAGGACAUCACCCACAGAAGAAGCACCGGCUAACUCCGUGCCAGCAGCCGCGGUAAUACGGAGGGUGCGAGCGUUAAUCGGAAUUACUGGGCGUAAAGCGCGCGUAGGCGGUCUGAUAAGCCGGUUGUGAAAGCCCCGGGCUCAACCUGGGAACGGCAUCCGGAACUGUCAGGCUAGAGUGCAGGAGAGGAAGGUAGAAUUCCCGGUGUAGCGGUGAAAUGCGUAGAGAUCGGGAGGAAUACCAGUGGCGAAGGCGGCCUUCUGGACUGACACUGACGCUGAGGUGCGAAAGCGUGGGUAGCAAACAGGAUUAGAUACCCUUGUAGUC